rnacentral:rRNA from 1 species
CCUACGGGAGGCAGCAGUGGGGAAUUUUGGACAAUGGGCGCAAGCCUGAUCCAGCCAUGCCGCGUGUGGGAAGAAGGCCUUCGGGUUGUAAACCACUUUUGUCAGGGAAGAAACGGCCUUUACUAAUAUUAGGGGCUAAUGACGGUACCUGAAGAAUAAGCACCGGCUAACUACGUGCCAGCAGCCGCGGUAAUACGUAGGGUGCAAGCGUUAAUCGGAAUUACUGGGCGUAAAGCGUGCGCAGGCGGCUUUGCAAGACAGAUGUGAAAUCCCCGGGCUCAACCUGGGAACUGCAUUUGUGACUGCAUGGCUAGAGUACGGUAGAGGGGGAUGGAAUUCCGCGUGUAGCAGUGAAAUGCGUAGAUAUGCGGAGGAACACCGAUGGCGAAGGCAAUCCCCUGGACCUGUACUGACGCUCAUGCACGAAAGCGUGGGGAGCAAACAGGAUUAGAUACCCUGGUAGUCCACGCCCUAAACGAUGUCAACUGGUUGUUGGACGGCUUGCUGUUCAGUAACGAAGCUAACGCGUGAAGUUGACCGCCUGGGGAGUACGGCCGCAAGGUUGAAACUUAAGGAAUUGACGG